rnacentral:tRNA from 1 species
GCCUGGGUGGCUCAGUCGGUUAAGCGGCCGACUUCGGCUCAGGUCAUGAUCUCGCAGUUCGUGGGUUCAAGCCCCACGUCAGGCU